GACGAACGCUGGCGGCGUGCUUAACACAUGCAAGUCGAACGAGUGGCGAACGGGUGAGUAACACGUGGGUGAUCUGCCUUGCACGUCGGGAUAAGCUUGGGAAACUGGGUCUAAUACCGGAUAGUGCAAGAUGAGCGAGCGGCCUAUGAGCUUGUUGGUGGGGUAAGGGGUACCAAGGCGCGACGGGUAGCCGGCCUGGGAGGGGGUACGGGCACAUUGUGCCUGAGAGACGGCCCAGACGCCUACGGUAGGCAGUGGUGGGGAUUAUGGCGCAAUGAGCGGGAGCGUGAUACGGCGACGCCGCGUGGGGGAUGUAGUCCUUCGGGUUGUGAACUCCUUUCGACGGGGACGCGGUACCUGUAUAGGAAGCACCGGCUAACUACGUGCCAGCAGCCGCGGUAAUUC
rnacentral:rRNA from 1 species